AGUUACACAAACUUACUUGAGCAAUAUGACAAGAUAUGAAAGUGUAUGACACAAGUUAGCAAUUCACACUAAACACAAGAUAUAUCAAUAGUAGCAAGUAUGAUUUGAAGGAUAUAAAGUGUAGGCCUAAAUAAUCUCUUCAAGGAAAUAGCCAGCACAAUAUAAUGAGGACAACAAUAUAUAGUGAACGCAAGGUCAAGAGACCAAAGUAAACCACAAGUAGUGGCUAGGGUUAGAGAUAACCGGAGACACGGAGACGAGGAUGUAUCCCGAUGUUAACUUCCUUGGAGGGAAGCUAGUCACCGUUAGAGAGGUGGAUGUUACCACGAAGGCACACCAACGCCACGAAGGCUCACCCUAUUCUCCCUUUGAGAUAACACCACGAAGGCGUUUCUCAACCACUAGUGGUAGACCUUGAGGCGGCCUCCAGACCUUCACAAACUUUCCGGGGGCAAAUCACAAGUUGAUUCCUCACCGGAGCACUCCUACCGCCUAGGAGUCUCCAACCUCCAAGAUUAACAAGAUCAAGGGGGAAAUGCUCAAGACUUGCUCAAAUCACGAAUUCCUUUGGUCACAAGAGGGAGAGGGAGUGGAUCUAUCACUUGAUUGGAAAAUCUCUCAAGAACUCUCACGAAUCUCUCUGGGAUCUAAGAUUUGGUGUAGGAGAAGUGAGAGGGAGCCUUUUUGUGUUCUAGGGUUCAUAUGAAUGUGUUUCUCAACCUUCUCCUAGGGUGGAAGAAGGUUAUAUAUAGUAGUAGUGCAAAUAUGGCCGUUGGAGUGUAAGUGGCUGUGUCGGGCCGGACAUCCGGGCCUGGGGCCGGACAUCCGGGCCUGGGGCCGGACAUCUGGGCACUGUGAAGUGUGCACACACGUACGCAGAAAAACAGGUUACAGGGCCCGGACAUCUGGCCGAAGCCCGGACAUCUGGCCAAACUUGGGGCCCCGGACAUCCGGCCAAGGGCCGGACAUCCGGCGUAUACAAACAGCAUUUCGGUAAGGUUUCUGGACAUCUACAGCCAGACAUCCGGGCCAGGGGCCGGACAUCCGGCGAUUUCACACUAAUUAGAUGUCCUCCGGAUAGCAGUGGCCAGACAUCCGGGGAAAAGCCCAGACAUCCGGCCAACACAAAAACUGCAGCCGCCCCAAAAGUAAAACAUGCAUAACUUUCACAUCCGGACUCCGAUUUUGAUGAUCUUGGGCUCAUUUUGAAGCUAUGGAAAAGAUCCAAGUCCUCACAUAGAGAACCACCCAAGAUAAACCAAAAUGGACGGUGCAAAGUAUGGAAAGGUGAGAUCAUAUACAUUGGGGAACCUAUUUGGCUAUGGAUUUUCUUUGGUAGAUGUGUAGGCAUUUUGUAUUUGCAUUGGAUAGGAGUGAAAUAUGCCUAUGUUGGAAUAUGAUGUGAGAAGAAUAGAAAUAGAUGAUGUUGACUUGAGAAAAUCCAGCACUAACCCCUUUGAUCCCCUCUUAAUAGUGUGGGAUCCCUAUAACUCAAGAAUCAUAAAAGAACUAUACUAGAUAGCUUCUGGAAACUCAUUCUUGAGCAUAUAUCCUUUUCGAUGGUCAUCGAUCCUCACUUCUAAAGCCAAAGGAACUAAUACCUUUGAGUAGAGCCUUUCACUUGAGCUUUAUAUUGAUGUUUCUUCAUGGCUCAAGUUGAAGGCAAGACAUUGGAGAAGUCUUCAAGUAGCUCCCCCAUACACAAUGUGGGAAGCUUUGCUUUGCAUUCAUCUUCACUUGUACAUCAUCAUUAAUUACUUGAUGACAUCCUUUGAUGAGCACCAAGCUCAUGAGAAUUACCUAACCCACAUAACAUAGACGACACAUAGUAUGGGUUAAUACACAAAGCGCAAUUGAUAAAUUCUUACCAUGCCACAAUAUCUCAUGUGGCACAUGAUAUGCGCUUGUGUGUUGUCCAUCUUAGAGGUCAAUAUUUGAUCUUCAUCUUGGUCAACAUUUAUCUUUGCUCAAUCAUUAAUAUUGAUGUCUUUAAGGCCCUAUUGAUAUCUUCACUAUGCUUCAUUUAAUCAAGACAUAAUAACUAAUAUCUUAAUUCAUCAUGACCAUAUCAAUUUUCUCCUUGAAUAUCAUAUUUGACCUCAUUUGCUUGUUCUCAUGCUCCAACAUAGUAUAUUGAGAGGCACAAUGAAUUCUUCACUUGAAUUACUUGCUUCAUGACAUACUAAUCCAUGACUCAACAUAUGAGCUCAUAAUGAUCCUAUCUUCAAGCAGAUGUAGAAUUCUUCUCUUUAAUAAUUCUCUCAAGAUCUUGAUCCAUCAUGGUUCAACCCAUAAGCCUUGAUGUAUGCACAACAAUAUGUAUAUGGCAUUCAUUUGAAAUCCAUUCUAUCUCCUUCUUGCAUCACCAUGGAAUAAACAUCCUUCAGUUCAUCCAAUAUUCUUCAUCCAUUGGAAAUGGAACUUUCCUUCAAAUGUAUAACUUAAUGCAAACAUUAGUCCAUUAGGAUUGUCAUUAAUUACCAAAACCACACAUGGGGACUACAUGUACUUUCAAUCUCCCCCAUUUUGGUAAUUGAUGACAAUCUCAACAAGAGGGUUUAUAUAAUGAAUUUUAACCCAAGUAUGCAAUUUACCCGAGGAUAAAUUGUAUACUUGGGAUAGUUUUGAUAACGUCAAGUGUCACAAAGAUACUUGAGUUUAUCACACACGGUGUACUAACAUCGAAACACUACACAAGUAUUUGAUGUUAGUAGAACCACAAUAUAUAGAGCAAGCUCCCCCACAAUAUAUGCAUGUGUGAAUGAACUUUGAAUUUCCUUGCAUAUAUUGUUUGUCAUACACUAGGUGGACUUUUCUCUAUAUAUUCAUUCAUGCAACAAACAUAUAUAACCAGGGUAAAUAAGCAUGAAUGAACAACAAGCACUUAAAAUACUUAUCUUAAAGCACUUAAAAUACUUAUCUUAAAGCACUUAAAAUACUUAUCUUAAACCCUCUAAACUUCUCCCCCAUUGGCAACAAAUGCCAAAAUGGGAAAAAUAUAGAAGCCAAUAUAUUAUGACUUCCUCCUUAAUGUGUGCGUAUUACAAGAUGUGAGUGAAAAUUAAAUGCACAUAUUCAAUGAGGAAAAUAUGAGGAGCUCGGGAUCUAUAGAAUGCACCAAGAUAUUGUGAUACGAAAAUAAGCAUUCCAUAUGUGAAAAAAACUUUUCGAAAAGAUCCAAAGAACAUAUUUGUGGACAAUAUAUAAUUUGAAUAACCAAUUUGAUCAUCAUCAUGAAAAUGUGUCCAAAAUACAUUCAAAACACACGAGUGCGCAAGAUUAUACGCACAACAUACAAGCACUCAUGCCACAACCUCUUAUCAAAACCACCAUAAGAAUAAAAGGAAACAACAAAGUGGCCGACAAGGAAUAAAUGAUAUCAAGAAAGGAUAUGAACUUUCACAUGUAUAAAAUUUCUAAGAGACCAAUAAUAAACAUGAUAUGUAUCCAAAAAGAAACCCGUAUACACAAAAAAAGCUGUAAUUGAUAAGAACAUGAUAUCCACAGGUGAAUCCACUGUUAUAUAACUUUGAGCCUAGCAUAAAAGCAAGGAACAUGGCACAAAGCACAUGGCACAAAUUGAUCUCAUUUUCAUAACACAAAGUGACGCAAGCAAUCAAAAGAUCCGACGAGCCGGAAGGAUAAAAGAAUAUUAUGAUUUGAGCAAAUGAGUGUUCUAAGGAAAAUAGAGAAGCUCCCCAUGAUUUUUGCACUAUUUAGAUUUUUUUUGGAUACAAGUGCACAAAAUAGGAUCAUCACUCCCCCAAAAUCAAUAGGAACACAAACAAUUUCAAGCAAGCAUAGAUAAGAAAAGAAGCCUAGCAAUUGGAACAAAGAUAUGGUUGAGCAACAUGUAAAUGAGGCAACCUAAUAAUAGGCACAACCAAAACAAUGUGAGUGAGUCACGACAAAGCACUUGAGAAGACUAAUAUAAGGAUGAGAAUUAAGCAUCAACAUAUAUAGUCUUGAGUAAAUGAGAUACAAGGUGCGAGAUAUGUCCUUCCCACACACACAAAGUUAAGCAGGUCACACACACAUCAAGCAAAUGGGUUCACAAGCUCACUAUUAGCACAUUAAAAAUCAAAGCUUGUGACAACCCAUGGUGAAGAUAGGAAAUAAUAGGCUUGUCAAGACAAGCACGAGGAUAACAAACUUCACCAAACAUGAGUGCACUAAGAUGCAAAUAGGUAAGACAUGCACUCAUACAAUGAAUGCUUCCAUGAAGCCACCAAAGAUAUAAAAAGAGAAUGAAACGGUGGACAUGAAAGAAUAGGGAUAUCAACUAGAGAUGUAACUUCUCUCACGUGUAUAAGAUUCUAGGUAGAUGACAAUCAUGGUGAUGCAUAUCCAGAAACAAGCAUGUACACAUGAAAUAGUUACAAAAGGAAAGAAUAAGAUAUCCAAACAGGACUCAUAAAAUAUACAAUUGAGAUCUUUGCUUGAAAGCAUAUCACAUGGCUUAAUACUAUCUUAUUGUAUAUUAAUGAACUCCAAACACACAACCAACAAAGACAUCACAACUAGCAACAAGAGAUCAUAGUUGGGAUGCUUUGAGAAAGGAAACAAGUGUCACAGGAACGAGUCAAGAAAUUCAUGCCAUGAUGCAACCUACACAAGGUUCACCCCAUUUCUAUAUAUAUGCAUGAAGUAAAUACUUGUUACCGAGAUAGCAUUGGUAUGAAGUCAUAGAUCAAUAAAAUGUCCAAGCUUGGCUCUAAUUUCCAUAGUGCCACCACCUUCAUGAAUAAGCCAAGCACCCAAUGCUUCUCAAAUGUACCUAAAACAUUUUAAGUACAAUAUGGCCCCCAAACUUAUUGGGUCCGAAGUAGUUAGCAUAACUACAACACAUAGGGUAAAACCACUUAAGUAUGUGCAUAUCGAUAUGAAUUUGAAUUUCAUGAACAUCUUAGCUAUUAAGAACUUGAUGGAUUUACCAUAUAUAUAUGGGAUAUGGGAUCAAAUAAAGCAAACAAGGAAUGCGAAUUUACACAUAGUAACUAUGCAUGCACAUGCUUACCAAAAUCCAGGGAGAUACAAAAUGGACAAAUGAACACAUAACUAUUGAUACUUCCAAUAAUAUCAUUAGUCAUUCAUGUUGUCCAAAAUAAAUCAAAGUGACAAAUCAACAUAUGAUAGCACGCAAAGUUCAACAUAUGAACCAAGGGAAACCAAUGAGCAUAUAAGAUAUGCAUUGCACACAUACUCAUAGGAAUAUUAUCUCACUCAAGUAGAUAUAGGAAACUAUAAACAAUGAGAUAACCAACUCCCAUAACACCAUAUAAACCAAUAAGAGGAACUCGAACAAAAUAGUAUUUCAAGUUAUCAUUCGGCGUAGAAACCACAUAAGUACAUGAUCAUCUAUACUAACACAAGCAUAACAUGAGAGUUUAGAAAUAAAUACAAUGCUUGGAUAGUAUAUUAUUAACAUUCCAAUUAGAUAGAUCAUCAUGUAAAGCAACAAUUCGAAUAGCUUUAAUCAAACGAUUUUCUGAAUAUGAUUUGAAGAUAGCCAUGGGCAAAACCGCACAAGAAUGCCAUAUGUAAACAAGGCAUUGCAUGCCAUAGAGAUAUAAGAUAAUCUCAAAUAUAUUCUAAGUGGCAUCCCAUAAUUGUUCACAUUUAACAAGGAUUGUGAUAUGUACAAAGCAUAUCACUCCCCCAUAAUGUGGUGAUCCAUUAAUAUCUCAAAAGAGCCCAAUAAGAUGCAACUAAAAUGCAAUGAAGGCUCGAGACUACACACACAGAUAUAUGACAUGCAUUGCAACCUACACAUGCUAGAUAACACAAAUCAAGCAUAUUAGGAGACACAACAUAUACAAACACAUGAUAGGUACAAAACCUAAACAUGCAUGGGGCUAGUAACUUUCAAUGUAGACAAUAUAAAUACAAGUUACAACCAUGAGGAGCAUUGGAAUGACAAAUAUGAUGAUAAUUCACCUUACUUGGUUUGAACCAUAAUGAAUGGCGAGAAUCAUUUUUCUUCAUGAACUAGCCAAAUCUCGAAUGCCCUCCACACACCUAUUGAUCAAUUUUGAACUCGAUGGUCCCCAACCACGUUGGGUCCUAAGAAGUUAGUAACAAUAGGCUUGGCAACCCGAAUGGUCUGAUCCACUUCCGAACCACUUUGGGCACCAACAUACUUGGCAAACAUAUUACCAUCAAUAUACUUCCUAAGUGAAUAAUGAUCAUUGAUAAUUGGAGGCUUAGAGAUGUUACCGUUGGGACAUGAUGAAGCUAUGUGUCCCUUCUUACGGAAAAUAUAGCAACAUGUACUCCCCCUUCUCUUCUUCUUUACUUUCUCAACUUGGGAAGUAAUAACAUGGUUCAUCAUGGAUAGUGGCCGUUCUUCAACUUGAGGUUGAACUUGAUAUUGAGCUUGAGGCCGCUUCCCAUGUAGCUUCCCUUUAUAAGCCCUUUUCUUUAGUGGACAAUAUCUCACAUGAUGUCCAAUCUUUUUGCACUUAAAGCAAGAAAUGUUGGACUCGUUCUUGGCUUUGUCUUGCCCCGUUUUCUUGUUCAUGGAUUUCUUCUUGUUGGAGUGAAAACUAUGUCCAUCAUCGCACUUUUCCAAUUCUUUCUUGAAAUUAGUGACUUGGGCCUUGAGCUCAUUAGUUUCCUCUACAUGGUUAGUUUCAAGACUAGAAACAAGAGGAGUAGUGGAAGUAGAAACUUCAUGGUUAGAGCAACAAGACAAGGUGAGCAAUUCAUGGGAGAACAAGCAUAUCAUCACAAAUGAGCUUAACACCAUCAUUACAAGAUAUUUCUUCACUCACCAUGUCAUUACCUUGUGGCACGCCACAUGUUGGUGAAGUAGAAGAUAUUGAAGUGUCCAAGUAAUUGGAGGUGGAACCAAUAGAGAUUUCUUCAUGAUUUAAAAAUGUGGAGAACUCCUCCAUUAACUCCCCGAAAAUAAUAUUGUCUUCAUCAAGUCUGAACCCACCAUAUAUAUCUUCAAGUUUGGUCCAAGCCUCAUGAGCCGACUUGCUAGUCGAGAUUUACUUAAACACUUCGAAGGAUAUAGCUUGGUGAAUGGUACUCAAAACUUGACUAUCAAGAUGCAUAUCCUCAAGCGAUGGAGAUUUUCCAUACUUUAGAUUCGAAUCCCCUAUAACAACAAUCCUCAAAGCAUUUGGACCCAUGGCCCGAAAGUGACAAAGCAUGUGUAAUCUCCACAUAAUGUAAUUUGUGCCAUUAAAACAAAUGUGUCAUCGUGCACUAGUUCACUAGUCAACAUCGUUACUCUCUAGGUGGUGAAGCCUAAUAAGGAGAGACCGGGCUCUGAUACCAAUUGAAAGGACCACGAUGUCGCCUAGAGGGGGGUGAAUAGGUGUUUUAAAAACUUCUACAGAUUUGGCUUAAUCCUAAUGCGGAAAUAAACUAAGAGGAUACUUUUCAAGCACAAAUCCUAAAUACACUAGGCUCAACUAAGUGCACCAACAACUUAUUAUAAAUAAUAUGAGCACAACAAGGAUACUAACAAGAACAAGUAAGUUACACAAACUUACUUGAGCAAUAUGACAAGAUAUGAAAGUGUAUGACACAAGUUAGCAAUUCACACUAAACACAAGAUAUAUCAAUAGUAGCAAGUAUGAAUUGCGGGAUAUAAAGUGUAGGCCUAAAAAAUCUCUUCAAGGAAAUAGCCAACACAAUAUAAUGAGGACAACAAUAUAUAGUGAACGCAAGGUAAAGAGACCAAAGUAAACCACAAGUAGUGGCUAGGGUUAGAGAUAACCGAAGACACGGAGACGAGGAUGUAUCCCCAUGUUCACUUCCUUGGAGGGAAGCUAGUCACCGUUAGAGAGGUGGAUGUUACCACGAAGGCACACCAA
rnacentral:lncRNA from 1 species